rnacentral:tRNA from 1 species
AUUCAAAUAGCUCAUAUAUAGAGUUUAACACUGAAGAUGUUAAGGUGAUAUUAAUCUUUGAAUA